CGCACAUUUUCUAGAAGGGACCCGAAGGCACUGUGGAAAAAGGGGAAAAGGGGAGUGGCCUACUCAUGUUUCUCUCCACCACACCGCUCGUCCUCUGGAUGAGAACACCAGCCGACUAGACAGAGUGGAUGUCCCUCCCAAUCCACCGUCGAUGGCCACUGGUCUCCAGAGAACGUGGGCGACGGCGGAGUGGAGGACGAGCAUGCCGUCGCGCCCUGUUUGGAGCGGUGCGAGGUGCUGGUUUCUGCGAUCGCGGGGAUGCUGGCCGGCGCGCUGAGGGAGCACGACAAGCGGGCGGCCAUCAUCGCUCCGAUCCACGACGGGGACGCCGCUGCAAUCGACCACCUCAACGGAGGUGGCUAGAUUUCCAAUCCGGUAAAAAAAAUUGGACGCACCAAAUACCACUUGAAAGCAAGGAUUUUCAGCAUUCGCGAGAGGAUUUCAACAACGAACAUGCUACUCAAGUCCAUACAUCAACACAUAAACAACUUUGAUAGAAUUAUUUAUACUGGUGCCUCAGGUGGUUCUAUCAUUAUAAUAUUUUUGUCCUAUUGAUCUUCAUCUGUGAAUCAGCAGAGUGAAUCAGCAUGAACUCAUUUCUGUAUGUUUACAGAUUAUUCAUCUCCUGUACAGAAAGUUGAUAAUGAAGUUGGAUCAAGGUGCACCACUUAGUUCACCUUUUUUACCACUUCUCAUUGUUUA